GUUGUAUAGUCAAGUAAUUAAGUGCAUGUGGUGGAUGCCUUGGCAGUCAGAGGCGAUGAAAGACGUGAUAGCCUGCGAAAAGCUCCGGGGAGGCGGCAAAUAUCCUUUGAUCCGGAGAUGUCUGAAUGGGGGAACCCACCUACUUUAAGGUAGGUAUUGCAACAUGAAUACAUAGUGUUGCAAGGCGAACGAGGGGAAGUGAAACAUCUCAGUACCCUUAGGAAAAGAAAUCAAUUGAGAUUCCCUCAGUAGCGGCGAGCGAACGGGGAUCAGCCCAUUAAGUUAUGUGUGUUUUAGUGGAACGCUCUGGGAAGUGCGAACGUAGAGGGUGAUAUUCCCGUACACGAAAGGGCACACAUAAUGAUGACGAGUAGGGCGAGGCACGUGAAACCUUGUCUGAAUAUGGGGGGACCAUCCUCCAAGGCUAAAUACUCCUGACUGACCGAUAGUGAACCAGUACCGUGAGGGAAAGGCGAAAAGAACCCCUGUGAGGGGAGUGAAAUAGAUCCUGAAACCGCAUGCAUACAAGCAGUGGGAGCACCUUCGUGGUGUGACUGCGUACCUUUUGUAUAAUGGGUCAGCGACUUAUAUUCAGUAGCAAGGUUAACCGUAUAGGGGAGCCGUAGAGAAAUCGAGUCUUAAUAGGGCGUUUAGUUGCUGGGUAUAGACCCGAAACCAGGCGAUCUAUCCAUGAGCAGGUUGAAGGUUGGGUAACACUAACUGGAGGACCGAACCCACUGUCGUUGAAAAGCCAGGGGAUGACUUGUGGAUAGGGGUGAAAGGCUAAUCAAGCCUGGUGAUAGCUGGUUCUCCCCGAAAGCUAUUUAGGUAGCGCCUCGGACGAAUACCAUAGGGGGUAGAGCACUGUUUCGGCUAGGGGGUCAUCCCGACUUACCAAACCGAUGCAAACUCCGAAUACCUAUGAGUACUAUCCGGGAGACAGACUGCGGGUGCUAACGUCCGUAGUCAAGAGGAAAACAAUCCAGACCGCCAGCUAAGGCCCCAAAAUCAUAGUUAAGUGGGAAACGAUGUGGGAAGGCAUAGACAGCUAGGAGGUUGGCUUAGAAGCAGCCACCCUUUAAAGAAAGCGUAAUAGCUCACUAGUCGAGUCGGCCUGCGCGGAAGAUGUAACGGGGCUAAAACUAUGUGCCGAAGCUGCGGAUNNNNNNNNNNNNNNNNNNNNNNNNNNNNNNNNNAUGCUGGAGGUAUCAGAAGUGCGAAUGCUGACGUGAGUAACGACAAAACGGGUGAAAAACCCGUUCGCCGAAAGACCAAGGGUUCCAGUCCAACGUUAAUCGGGGCUGGGUGAGUCGACCCCUAAGGCGAGGCCGAAAGGCGUAGUCGAUGGGAAAAUGGUUAAUAUUCCAUUACUUCUGUGUAAUGCGAUGAGAGGACGGAGAAGGCUAAAUCAGCCUGGCGUUGGUUGUCCAGGUGAAAGGAUGUAGGCAUGUAUCUUAGGCAAAUCCGGGGUACUCUAUGCUGAGAUCUGAUAGCAAGCUGUACUUGUACAGCGAAGUGGUUGAUGCCAUGCUUCCAGGAAAAGUCUCUAAGCUUCAGUUACACAGGAAUCGUACCCGAAACCGACACAGGUGGUCAGGUCGAGUAGACCAAGGCGCUUGAGAGAACUCUGCUGAAGGAACUAGGCAAAAUGGUACCGUAACUUCGGGAGAAGGUACGCUGUUGUUGGUGAUGGAACUCGCUUCCUGAGCUGACGACAGCCGCAGAAACCAGGCCGCUGCAACUGUUUAUUAAAAACAUAGCACUCUGCAAACACGAAAGUGGACGUAUAGGGUGUGAUGCCUGCCCGGUGCUGGAAGGUUAAUUGAUGGGGUUAGCGUAAGCGAAGCUCUUGAUCGAAGCCCCAGUAAACGGCGGCCGUAACUAUAACGGUCCUAAGGUAGCGAAAUUCCUUGUCGGGUAAGUUCCGACCUGCACGAAUGGCAUAAUGAUGGCGGCGCUGUCUCCAGCAGAGGCUCAGUGAAAUCGAAAUCGCUGUGAAGAUGCAGUGUACCCGCGGCUAGACGGAAAGACCCCGUGAACCUUUACUGCAGCUUGACACUGAACUUUGACCUUACUUGUGUAGGAUAGGUGGGAGGCUUUGAAGCUGGAACGCUAGUUCCAGUGGAGCCGUCCUUGAAAUACCACCCUGGUAAUGUUGAGGUUCUAACUCUGUCCCGUGAUCCGGGACGAGGACCGUGUCUGGUGGGUAGUUUGACUGGGGCGGUCUCCUCCUAAAGAGUAACGGAGGAGUACGAAGGUGCGCUCAGCGUGGUCGGAAAUCACGCGUAGAGUAUAAAGGCAAAAGCGCGCUUAACUGCGAGACCCACAAGUCGAGCAGGUACGAAAGUAGGUCUUAGUGAUCCGGUGGUUCUGUAUGGAAGGGCCAUCGCUCAACGGAUAAAAGGUACUCUGGGGAUAACAGGCUGAUACCGCCCAAGAGUUCAUAUCGACGGCGGUGUUUGGCACCUCGAUGUCGGCUCAUCUCAUCCUGGGGCUGAAGCAGGUCCCAAGGGUAUGGCUGUUCGCCAUUUAAAGAGGUACGCGAGCUGGGUUUAGAACGUCGUGAGACAGUUCGGUCCCUAUCUACCGUGGGCGCUGGAAAUUUGAGAGGAUCUGCUCCUAGUACGAGAGGACCAGAGUGGACGAACCUCUGGUGUACCGGUUGUGACGCCAGUCGCAUCGCCGGGUAGCUAUGUUCGGAAGGGAUAACCGCUGAAAGCAUCUAAGCGGGAAGCCUACCUCAAGAUAAGAUUUCCCUAGGACUUUAUGUCCUCUAAAGAGCCGUUCGAGACUAGGACGUUGAUAGGUUGGAUGUGGAAGCAUAGUGAUAUGUGAAGCUGACCAAUACUAAUUGCUCGUGAGGCUUGACUAUACAACACCCAAGCAGUUG
rnacentral:rRNA from 1 species